AUGUCGCGGGGCAGGGACCCUUUGGCACUGAGCCAGGUAAUUGGUGAUGUGUUGGAUCCUUUCGUAAAGUCAGCUGCCAUGAGGAUUAAUUAUGGUGAGAAGGAGAUUACAAAUGGCACUGGGGUACGAUCAUCUGCCGUGCUCAAUGCACCACAGGUGGAGAUUGAAGGUCGUGACCGGACGAAGCUCUACACACUUGUUAUGGUGGAUCCUGACGCGCCAAGUCCAAGCAAACCGGAAUACAGGGAAUAUUUGCAUUGGUUGGUGACAGACAUCCCAGAGGCAACAGAUGCACGUUUUGGCAAUGAAAUAGUUCCCUAUGAAGCUCCACGGCCACCAGCCGGUAUUCAUCGGCUUGUUUUUGUGCUAUUCAAACAGGGAGCACGGCAGACAGUUUAUGCACCAGGAUGGCGGCAAAAUUUUAACAUCAGAGACUUCUCAGCAUUUUACAAUCUUGGACCACCGGUUGCUGCAUUAUUCUUCAACUGCCAAAAGGAGAGUGGUGUUGGUGGCAGAAGGUUCCAAGGACCAGGCUGA
rnacentral:rRNA from 1 species